AGAAAAGAAAGAGAGAUGGAAUGAAAUAAAAGUUGAAUUGCUCGAUAGUUUGAUUUUGACCCCGACAGUGCACUUUUACAGGAUAAAGGUCCUACCGUGAAAUUGACUGCGUACAAACCUAAUUAAGGGUAAAAGAAACUCGUUGGCGAAGUCGGUUCGGCAAUCCGUCGAGCCUACGCAAAGAUAGCACCAAAAGGACAAUUUCGGCUAUAAUUGGCACGAGCGCGGGUCGCGGUUCUCGGGAAAGUGCGAGAAGCGGAUUUCUCGCAUCCAGGUAUCAAAUAAAGGUUUGCACGUGAGCGGCGCAGCGGCGCAAGGACAGGGCGUAGCUUUGUAGAUAGCGCCCUACCCCCGAGACCAGAGAUAGCAGUACCCUGAAGCAGUCUAGCUCGGAGUUCAGAAUGAAAGAAACAAACUUGUAUCAAAUUUGUAAUAAAUUGUGUAAGUUGUAAACUGUAUAAAGGCUUAUGUAAUAAUUUAAAGACUUAUGAAAUUUUCUAAAUGUAAAAUUGUGAGAUGAAUGCUAUUAAUUGCAUAGUUAGCCUUUUAUGUUUUUGAUA